rnacentral:ncRNA from 1 species
AUAAACGUUUCGAUCAGGAGAGUAAAUUAUUAAUUUGACCCCCAGCGAGUCUUCGGGUGGUGUGAGAAGACGGCAAAUAAUAAUUGAAGAUGGCCUGGAAAUAAUGGUGUCAGUGAUGAAGCUGGCAACGGAAGUAGCGUCCGUUAUCCCUACGCUUGGUUAUAAUUUUGUAACCAAAUGAGACUAGUUAAGGUGACUUAGCUAGUGAAGUCAGGUGGUACCACGCUAAUUCGUCCUGUAA